rnacentral:rRNA from 1 species
UACAGAGGUCUCAAGCGUUGUUCGGAUUCAUUGGGCGUAAAGGGUGCGUAGGCGGCGCGGUAAGUCGGGUGUGAAAUCUUGGAGCUUAACUCCGAAACUGCAUUCGAUACUGCCGUGCUUGAGGACUGGAGAGGAGACUGGAAUUUACGGUGUAGCGGUGAAAUGCGUAGAUAUCGUAAGGAAGACCAGUGGCGAAGGCGGGUCUCUGGACGGUACUGACGCUGAGACGCGAAAGCGUGGGGAGCGAACAGG